rnacentral:lncRNA from 1 species
GUUAUUUGACUGGAGUGAGGUCUCAUGUCUGCUUAUGCGGUGGCUCGCUGCUCAGAACAGGAUGGCAGAGAUGAGCACCACCAUCAAAAACUCAAGGACCAGUGCUGUGGGUCCAGUCAUCUGUUUCAUGGAAUUCACCAGUCUGGUAUCUUCAAAAUCCAGAAGGAUGAUGGCAGAUGGCAGGAAGGAGGAAGAGGGUAAUCUGGAAGAGUUUCCUGACCUACUCUGCUGCUGUGAUUAAACAACCACCAGGAAAUUUUGAUGACACUGUUCUCCUGAGCUCCUCCCUUUCCUCGGGGAAGAAAAGCAUUGAAACUACAAAAAUAAAGUGUUAUUUGGCUGGAGUGAGGUCUCAUGUCUGCUUAUGCGGUGGCUCGCUGCUCAGAACAGGGAACCAUUGGAGAUACUCAUUACUCUUUGAAGGCUUACAGUGGAAUGAAUUCAAAUACGACUUAUUUGAGGAAUUGAAGUUGACUUUAUGGAGCUGAUAAGAAUCUUCUUGGAGAAAAAAAGACUGGUACUUCUGAAUUAACCAAAAUCACAGUAUUCUGAAGAUGAUUCUACAAAGCCUGCUGUUUCUACAAAGGCUGCUGAUGAUUUCUACAAAGCCUGCUGUAGUGUUGCUGUGGCCUCUGCUUAAAAAAGUAGAAAACACAUUGAUGCAGCAUGUUCACCCCAACCUCCCUGCCUAAAGGCUCAGGGACCAUCUUGGAAGAGGAAGGCGCGUGAGAUUGUAAGAGCCGAAUUAGGGGGAUGGAGUGUGGAGAAUAAGGACACUUCAUCUUGGAUGCUCACCUGCCAAAUUGACUUCUGAUGAAAGCCAGCUCCAGAAAUGUGCCUACAGUUACUACUUUCACCUAAACCCUGCCCUUAGUCAAAUCCUUCUCUUCUUCUAAGCAAUCAACUUCAAUUCCUUGUAUAACCCACAGUAUAAAAGGGCUUUUAUACCAUUCUAUCCUAUUGCAUGUAAGCCUUGGGUCUGGGAGGUAACAGUGUGGGAUUCCACCAUCUCAUCUCCCUGCCACCCAAACAUGCCUGCUCUUCUUUAAGCAAUAUUAAAUGUUUGUACUUCAGAAA